AGGACUCUUUGUGUUUUUUUAAAGGUAUGGAAUUAUACAUGCUGGUGGCAUAGGAAAGUACCUGAGUGACUGGAUCCUUGAAGGGGAACCUCCGUUUGACCUGAUAGAAUUAGAUCCUAAUCGCUACGGGAAGUGGACCACUACAGAAUACACAGCAGCCAAAGCAAGAGAAUCUUAUGGUUUUAAUAACAUUAUUAUUUACCCUAAAGAAGAAAGAUUUGCUGGGAGACCAACAGAGAGGACUAGUGGGCUGUAUGAUUUGCUGAAAACAAAAUGUUCAAUGGGCUUCCAUGCCGGAUGGGAACAACCUCAUUGGUUCUACAAACCUGGAGAUGAGACUGGAUACAAACCCAGUUUUCGGCGCACCAAUUGGUUUGACCCAGUGGGCCGUGAGUAUAAACAGGUUAUGGAAAAGUUGGUGUGAUUGACCUGUCACCAUUUGGCAAGUUUAAAGUGAAAGGCACUGAUUCUGUUAAGCUGCUGGAUCAUCUGUUUGCAAAUGUUGUUCCAAAGGUUGGUUCCACAAAUAUAAGUCACAUGUUGACACCCAGAG